AACGAACGCUGGCGGCAUGCCUAACACAUGCAAGUCGAACGAGACCUUCGGGUCUAGUGGCGCACGGGUGCGUAACGCGUGGGAACCUGCCCUUAGGUUCGGAAUAACUCCCCGAAAGGGGUGCUAAUACCGGAUAAUGUCUUCGGACCAAAGAUUUAUCGCCUUUGGAUGGGCCCGCGUUGGAUUAGCUAGUUGGUAGGGUAAAAGCCUACCAAGGCGACGAUCCAUAGCUGGUCUGAGAGGAUGAUCAGCCACACUGGGACUGGGACACGGCCGAGACUCCUACGGGAGGCAGCAGUGGGGAAUAUUGGACAAUGGGCGGAGGCAUGAUCCAGCAAUGCCGCGUGAGUGAUGAAGGCCUUAGGGUUGUAAAGCUCUUUUACCCGGGAUGAUAAUGACAGUACCGGGAGAAUAAGCUCCGGCUAACUACGUG
rnacentral:rRNA from 1 species